rnacentral:rRNA from 1 species
GAAUUCAACUCCUACGGGAGGCAGCAGUAGGGAAUCUUCCGCAAUGGACGAAAGUCUGACGGAGCAACGCCGCGUGAGUGAUGAAGGUUUUCGGAUCGUAAAACUCUGUUGUUAGGGAAGAACAAGUAUGAGAGUAACUGCUCGUACCUUGACGGUACCUAACCAGAAAGCCACGGCUAACUACGUGCCAGCAGCCGCGGUAAUACGUAGGUGGCAAGCGUUGUCCGGAAUUAUUGGGCGUAAAGCGCGCGCAGGCGGUCCUUUAAGUCUGAUGUGAAAGCCCACGGCUCAACCGUGGAGGGUCAUUGGAAACUGGGGGACUUGAGUGCAGAAGAGAAGAGUGGAAUUCCACGUGUAGCGGUGAAAUGCGUAGAGAUGUGGAGGAACACCAGUGGCGAAGGCGACUCUUUGGUCUGUAACUGACGCUGAGGCGCGAAAGCGUGGGGAGCAAACAGGAUUAGAAACCCUAGUAGUCCAGGCGUU